CAGUCGCCGCGGGAAUACGUAGGUGGCAAGCGUUGUCCGGAAUUAUUGGGCGUAAAGGGCUCGCAGGCGGUUUCUUAAGUCUGAUGUGAAAGCCCCCGGCUCAACCGGGGAGGGUCAUUGGAAACUGGGAAACUUGAGUGCAGAAGAGGAGAGUGGAAUUCCACGUGUAGCGGUGAAAUGCGUAGAGAUGUGGAGGAACACCAGUGGCGAAGGCGACUCUCUGGUCAGUAACUGCCGCUGAGGAGCGAAAGCGUGGGGAGCGAACAGGAUUAGAUACCCGCGUAGUCCCUGUCUCUUAUAC
rnacentral:rRNA from 1 species